AAUCUUCCGCAAAUGGGCGCAAGCCUGACGGGAGCGACGCCGCGUGGAGGAAGACGCUCCUUUUCGAGUUGUAAACUCCUUUUCUGAGGGAAGAAAUUUUUGACAGUACCUCAGGAAUAAGCAUCGGCUAACUACGUGCCAGCAGCCGCGGUAAGACGUAGGAUGCGAGCGUUACUCGGAAUCACUGGGCGUAAAGCGUCCGUAGGCGGCCUGGAAAGUCCAAGGUGAAAUGUCGGAGCUCAACUCCGUCACUGUUUUGGAAACUUCCAAGCUAGAGUAACCGAGAGGCACCUGGAAUGCCGUGUGUAGGGGUAAAAUCCGUUGAUCCACGGUAGAACGCUAAAAGCGAAGGCAGGGUGCUAGAGGUUUACUGACGCUCAGGGACGAAAGCGUGGGGAGCGAACGGGAUUAGAUACCCCGGUAGUCCACGCCCUAAACGCAUGCGUGCUCGGUGUAGGAGAUGACUUGAUCGUCUUCUGUGCCCUAAGCUAACGCGGUAAGCACGCCGCCUGGGGUUUAAUUCGAUACUAAGCGAGUAACCUCACCCAGGCUUUGACAUCCCAAGAACCCCGCAGAAAUGCGGGGGUGCCGCAAGGAACUUGGAGACAGGUGCUGCAUGGUCGUCGUCAGCUCGUGCCUUGAGGUGUGUUGUUAAGUCAAUGAACGAGCGCAACCCUCGCCCUUAUUUGCUCUCUAUCAGGGGACUGCCGGCUCCAAGUCGGAGGAAGGUGGGGAUGACGUCAGAUCAGCAUGGCCCUUAUGCCUGGGGCCACACCCAUGCUACAAUGGCCAGUACAAAGGGCGGCGAAGCCGCGAGGCGGAGCUAAUCCCAGAAAGCUGGUCUCAGUUCGGAUCGUAGUCUGCAACUGACUACGUGAAGUUGGAAUCGCUAGUAACCGUGAAUCAGAAUGUCACGGUGAAUAUGUUCCUGGGUCUUGUACUCACCGCCCGUCAAGUCAUGAAAGGCAGGAGCACUCGAAGUGCCGUUACCCUCCUUCGCUCUUUGCUCCGCAAAGAGCUUCGGCGGGCGGGUCCGCAAGGACUUGCCCACCGUAGCUCCGAACGGAGUGAGGAGCGGAGGUGGGGCGGCACCACGGUGAUA
rnacentral:rRNA from 1 species